rnacentral:lncRNA from 10 species
CUCUUCUCAUUCAAACAAAUGCUUAGCUGGCUUUUGGAACAUAAAUCUUUCAUUAGCAGGUCUCGCUCUGUCAUCCAGGCUGGAGUGGAGUGGUAUGAUCAUAGCUCACUGUAGCCUCCUGUGCUCAAGUGAUCCUCUCACCUUAGCCUCCUGAGUAGCUGGGAUUACAGGAUAACUUCCUGCAAUGAGUCAGCUAAACAUUCCUGAAUCCAACCAUUCUAUCCCUGGCAAACUCCAGUAUCUGAUGCUCUAUCACAUGUGGAAACAAAGUCACUCGCAUCAGUUUCAACAAGUACACUGCUUAGUGAAAUAUAGGUCUUUAAAAACACACUGGAAUUUGAAAAAAGAAACAACACAUUGAUGGUAAUGUCUUCCUCUGAAUGAAUGUGUGUAAAACUGUAACAGGCACAAAAACCAAAGCCAAAGAAUCACAGACUUACAUCUGUCAAACCGAUUCCACAGAAGCCAUUUCAAUAUCAGGGCUAUUUCUUAGAUAGGUUUAAAAAUGUAUCUCACAAUUUAAAUUGGAAAACGAAGCUAAGCACAAACACCAAGUAGAAGUUACACCACAAGGAACAUGCAGGUCAGCCAGGUGUAGAAGAUAAAUGGUCAGAAUAUGAUAUGAAGAAGAAGACUAAGAAAGUACAUAUAGCAAUUCAAUCUCUACCAGGUUCUCUCAAUCAACAUUGGAAUUUAAUCGAAUUAAAAAUAAUCGCUCAUAAUGGAAUAUGGCAUGGGCCAGUUUUUCUGUUAAUAUAAUGUUUGUGACAAUGUGGACAGUGGCCUGGCUAAUUAACGGGCAGGGAACGUGGAAGGAGCUGCUUCAGUUCAACACUGGGGACACGGUGUGGAGAACGAUGCAAGGAUAGCUAUCCAAAAUCUGUGAGGGUCUACACUGCUUGGCAAGGCGGAGCUGUAUAAGUGUGUGAUUGUGGAGUGCAGAGUGGCCUCUGUAAUAAAAGACCUAAUGACAAAAGGAAAAGUAAAUGUAACAAAUGCUUAUACAGUGUGUCUGCAAGUGUUGAUAGGCACUGUGUAGGAAGACCAUGUCAAAUUCAUACUGAGAAUUACCAUGAAUCACAGGGAACCAGACUGGCCUUGCUGAUACCAUUGGCACUCUUAGUUCUACCAAGGCAUUUCUUGAUAGAUUCACCUAGAGGAAUGGAAGUCAUCCUCAAGCUUCAGAUUGACCUGCUUCAUGAAUGUGAAGGAAUAAUAUAUGGUUGUGCAGUUUAUCCUGUUACCACUAACUUUUUUCUUUUGUCUUGCUGUAUAGCCCAGGCUGCAGAGCAGGGGCAGGAUCACAGCCCCCUGCAGCCUAGACCUCCCAGGCUCACGUGAUCCUCCCACCUCAGCCUCCCGAGUAGCAGGGAAUACAGGCAUGCGCCACCAGGCCCAGGUUUUUGUUUUUGUGUUUUUGAUGGAUCCUUGCUCUGUCUCCCAGGCUGGAGUGCAGUGGCAUGAUCUCAGCUCACUGCAACCUCAGUCUCCCAGGUUCAAGCAAUUCUCCCCUGACUCGGCCUCCCGAGUAGCUGGGAUUACAGGUGUGUGCCACCACAACUGGCUGAUUUUUGCUUUUUUUAGUAGAGAUGGGGUUUUGCCAUGUUGGCCAGGCUGGUCUCGAAACUCUGACCUCAGCUGAUCUGUCCACUUCAGCCUCCCAAAGUGCUGGGAUUACAGGCAUGAGCCACCAUGCCUGGCCAAUUUUUCUGUAGAGACGGGGUCUCCCUAUGUUGCCCAGACUGGUCUCAAACACCUGGGCUCAAGUGAUCCUCCCACCUCAGCCUCCCAAAGUGCUGAGAUUACAGGCAUGAGCCACGGUGCCCAGCACUUUUUUCUUUUGAACUAUUACUCUCACAUGAUUUUCACUGCCACAGGUGGGGGUCCUCUGAGAUAGUUUGUGUGUUAUCUCCACAGGUGAUAGGCUGUGUUCUGGAAGGAUGUUCAGGACUUGAAUUUCAGUUUUCAGUCACUCUCACUGGAUUCCCAAACCAACCUUUUCCUAAGAGAGAUUCCCAGCUUCACCCCACAAUGGGGUGAAGACGCAUUGAGGACAGAGACCUCCCUGAUCUAUCUCUAAUGCUUUGGCCUCGUCAUAGGUACAACGAAUCUCUGAAUUCUGUGACAAGCCUGGUGGCACGGUUCCACAUGGCUGGGGAGGCCUCACAAUCAUGGAGGAAGGUGAAGGAGAAGCAAAGCCAUGUCUUACGUGGAGGCACGAAAGAG